rnacentral:rRNA from 1 species
GAUGAACGCUGACAGAAUGCUUAACACAUGCAAGUCGAAUUGAACUUCGGUUUGGGUGGCGGACGGGUGAGUAACGCGUAAAGAACUUGCCUCACAGCUAGGGACAACAUAUGGAAACGAAUGCUAAUACCAGAUAUUAUGAUUAUAUGGCAUCGUAUAAUUAUGAAAGCUAUAUGCGCUGUGAGAGAGCUUUGCGUCCCAUUAGCUAGUUGGAGAGGUAACAGCUCACCAAGGCGAUGAUGGGUAGCCGGCCUGAGAGGGUGAUCGGCCACAAGGGGACUGAGACACGGCCCUUACUCCUACGGGAGGAAGCAGGGGGGAUUAUUGGACAAUGGACCGAGAGUCUGAUCCAGCAAUUCUGUGUGCACGAUGAAGUUUUUCGGAAUGUAAAGUGCUUUCAGUUGGGAAGAAAAAAAUGACGGUACCAACAGAAGAAGCAACGGCUAAAUACGUG